rnacentral:pre_miRNA from 1 species
AGCACAAUUGCUGGGUUGUAUAAUAAGUGUGUUUAACUUUUUAAGAAACUGCCAACCUGAUUUUCAGAGUGGCUAUAUUAAUUUAUUUUCUUUCUAUCAGU